GCUGAUGAUGAUGCUGAUGAUGAUGCUGAUGAUGCUGAUGAUGAUGCUGAUGCUGAUGAUGCUGCUGAUGAUGAUGCUGAUUCUGUGAGGCAGGUGUCAGCUGGUUCAUCCCCCUGCAUCGCUCAGCGCAGGGAGACUCACAAACUACACUCACAUUGCAGGUCGGGCUGUCCCUGCGGCGUCCGACGUUCCGGGACGCCUCCUCCCAGCGUCUCCGCUCCCUCCGCCUGCAGCAGCAGCGGCGCCGUGAGAGGUCACUGAGGUCAGAAGCCAGGCGAGAUCGGAAACCUGUUAUCAGAAGAUACCUUGGACGACAGGAGUGGGAGUGAUGACAUCACCACCAUCACCAACAUCACCAUCACCAACAUCAUCA